rnacentral:rRNA from 1 species
UACGAAGGGUGCAAGCGUUACUCGGAAUUAUUGGGCGUAAAGAGCUUGUAGGCGGCUUGUCGCGUCUGCUGUGAAAAUCCGAGGCUCAACCUCGGACUUGCAGUGGGUACGGGCAGACUAGAGUGCGGUAGGGGAGAUUGGAAUUCCUGGUGUAGCGGUGGAAUGCGCAGAUAUCAGGAGGAACACCGAUGGCGAAGGCAGAUCUCUGGGCCGUAACUGACGCUGAGGAGCGAAAAGCAUGGGGAGCGAACAGG